AUUGAACGCUGGCGGCAGGCCUAACACAUGCAAGUCGAGCGAGCGGCGGACGGGUGAGUAAUGUAUGGGGACUGCCCGAUAGAGGGGGAUAACUACUGGAAACGGUAGCUAAUACCGCAUACUAUCGGAUAACCCAUAUGGGAUUAGCUCUUGGGGGAGGUAAUGGCUCACCUAGGCGACGAUCCCUAGCUGGUCUGAGAGGAUGCUCAGCCACACUGGGACGUAGACACGGCCCAGACUCCUACGGAGGCAGCAGGGGGGAAUAUGGCACAAUGGGCGCAAGCCUGAUGCAGCCAUGUCGCGUGUAUGAAGAAGGCCCGAGGGUUGUAAAGUACUUUCAGUCGGGAGGCGUUACCGACAGAAGAAGCACCGGCUAACUCCGUGCCAGCAGCCGCGGUAAUAC
rnacentral:rRNA from 1 species